CUUACAGCGGCCACGGUCGUGCACAGGGGAUGGUGACAGCAAAGCCUCUGCACCGGCUGCAUCCCUGCCCGAGCUGACUCCCUCCAGCCCGAGUGGUGAAAAUCGUGGGCGAGACGGGCGUAACAAAGCGUGCAAGCCACGGCAUGGCCUGGUUUUCCAUCUCUGUCCAUGGCAGUGCGAUUCACCCAGAAGGGGGAGAUAUCAGCCUGCGUGCUGCGGCUGCGAGCCCGUGUGGCGGCUCCCACUUGAAAUUUGUCUGACGGGGAGAUUUCUGCACAAACCGUGCAAUUUGGUGCUGGAGCACGCUGGACCUCAUCUGCUUAAAAAGAUGCACAGAUAUAGUCAUCACACUUCAUAAUUUAAUAAACUGCUAAAAAAUUGCACACGUUUUCAUUUUAGCAACUUAGGUCCCGCAACUAAACUCACGAUGCUACAAAGACAUUUGAAUUUUUCACUAAUAUGUCAUGAGCGCUGCACCCAUUGCAAAUUAAUGAGUCUCUGAAUAGCACUGUGCAUUUGUCAUUUGAAUUUAUGCUAAUGCGCUGAGGUCUCCUGAUGAUGUUGAUAGUCCACAGCAGCUGCUCAAACUAUAGAAUGCACACGCAUGUUCCUCCACUUUUUAUUCAUCUUUCCUUGGAUUUUUCUGGUCUAUCAUUUGGGCUGCGGUCCUGCAGCUGGUUAUUGAUAGGGCUGCUAAUUAUCUUUGACUUUACACUACAGGCUUGACCCCCAACACCGCGCAGAAGUAAUGGAUCAGUGCUGAGAGGAUCGUGUACAUCACACGGCAGCAGCCUCAGACCAGCGGGUCAAGAGGAGUUCAUUGAGAACCGAUGGUAUUUACAAAGAAUUGUUGGCAUGGUAACUGGUAACUUUUUUUUUUCUUUUUUUUUCCAACUUCCAAAUAAAUUACACCGAGUAUAAUUUAAGUACAACAAUUAAACGCAAUAACGAGGUCGUGGCUGUGCUCGUAUACAGCACGUAUGGUGGAGGAUGGCAUCUUCCUCUUCCUGCCCAUAGGAAAGAAGCCAAAUCCCAUCUCCCACCCUUCCCACCCAGGAUGGGACAGUGGCCACAAGGUGCUGUUUGAUUUCUGGGUGAAAGCCUCCCUACCCGCAGCUCAGGGCAGCGCGGAUCCACAUGGGGUCCUGCCAAGGAAACAAAGAAGAACCCGAGGGGAAAGCUCCUGCAGACUCUACCGUGCAGAAGCCAGGCAUCUCUGGUAACAAACCUCCUCACAUCAGGAUAAGCCAGCACGUUAUAAGGCAGUGGUGGACGAAAUCAUUGGAGUGAUCCAACAGAGGACUACAGAGUAUUUAUGGUGGCUGAUCCUGGUAAUUCGUUGUGCUAGCCAUGUGUGUUGCUGAACGUGCAACACUCGAGCAUCUCUCGAGGCACUGAGAAGACUCUCAGAAGCUAUAAAAACUUUUCUGGGCUCCUCGAGUCCUUUGUGUUAAAGACUUGUGAUCGUUUUAUAUCUGUCUCUUUGCUGUUUUUUUAAGCAGAGA
rnacentral:lncRNA from 1 species